GCGAGAGAUGAAGGGCGUGUGAUGUGCUUGUUCAAGAAACGCUCCAGAAAUCAUGUUGUAUCUCCAUCAGAUGAAGAGGAAGGAUAACGAUCAUCUUUAUUGAAGCAGUUCCAGGGUCAGUGAAUCGUCUGAAGAGCAGCUUAUGAAGUCAUCAGUCAUGUUCAGCAGUCGAGGGGCUCUGGUGUCUUGUCGAGGCAGCUCCUAAUAUGAGUUGAGUCGUGAAUCUGCUCUCGGGAUAUUUCUGUGCCGAAAUCUGGAGUCAGGGGUCCCAAACAGACUAACGGAGUAAAAGAUGCUCCUCGGGGUUCAAUCCUACUCUUCUCCAAUCUCUUCCGGCUGUUUGAUUCCUGGAGAACACAGCAGCGCUGACGUGUUUGAUUUCUUCAUCUCGGGUUCAGCGCUUCAGGUCACUGAUGGAUGACUGGUGCUGAAUUCAACAGAUGCACGCUUCUACAGAUAUUAAAUGAAUGAAACAUCAAAGAGAAGCUUUCACAACUGUUUUUACUUGUUACGGCCCCUGUGUGUGUCAGUGUGUGUGCGUGUGCGUGCGUGUGCUUAUGUGUGUGUGCGAGUGUGCGUGCGUGUGUGCGUGUGCAUGCGUGUGUGUGCCAGUGUGUGUGUGUGCCGGUAUGUGUGUGUGUGUGCGUGUGUGUGUGUGGGAAGGGUAAACCCUACGGUAUGGGGACAAAAUGUCCCCACAAAGACGGCAAUAUCCAAAAUCCUUGUCCUUGUGGGAACAUUUUUUUGUCCCCAUGAGGAAACAAGCUUAUAAAUCAUACAGAAUUAACUUUUUUGAAAAUGUAAAAGAGCAGAAAGUUGUGUGUGAUUGUUAGGUUUAGGGGUAGGGAAUAUGAUAUACAGUUUGUAUAGUUUAAAAACCAUUGCGUCUAUGGAAUGUCCCCAUAAAACAUGGAAACCCAACGUGUGUGUGUCAGUGUGUGGCGUGUGUGGCGUGUGUGCGUCUGUGUGUGUGUGUUAGAACAGGAAGAGGUUGGAGAGAAACAGAGUAAAAUUGAAGCACUAACACACAUGGAGGAUUAUCGAUCCGUCAGAAGCGACUCUAUCCUGCUGGACUUGAGCUCUAUUGUUGCUGGAGCUUUCAGAACACGUAGCUGUAUAGAGUGUCCCUCACUCACUCAUCACCUCACGGGUUAAUAAACCUGCUGAUGGGACAAAAGACUUAUUUACUCCACUCAAUAAACAUCAAGCAGAAGAGGACUGAGAGAGGAAUGUUAUUCAAACCAUUACGCACCUGCAGUCAGAGGAAAACCACUGACCUUCCAUGUGCUGAAAAACCACAGAGUAAUCCAUCUUCAGGAUGCUAAGCGCUCCUCAUGGCGGUGAUUCUGUAUACUGUAAUGCAUUAUCACAAGAACAAUAAGAGUACAUGUUCAAGAUGUUGAUAUUUGUGUUUGUGUCGCUCUUUAAUACAUGUUUCUUUUACUUUGUAGAUUAGAACACCGGGGUGUGUUUUGUUCCAGUAUGGUACACUGUAAAAAAAUCUGUAAAAAAACUGAGAUUUUCUGUAAACUGGAAAACCAGAAAUAUACCGUUAAACUUCCUGUAAAAGUAUAGGAUAUUAGGAUAUAUAUAUAUUAAAUUGUUUUUUAUUGUAAAUUUGUUGUCUUUUUCUGUA